rnacentral:lncRNA from 1 species
GUCUUCGCCAGCGUCACCUUCAACUCGACGCCAGCAAAGCCAGUAGCCCACUCCCAAGAUCAGUCCAGCAGUUGGGCCCGUCCAAGAAACCAGAGAAGCCCAUUUUGUUCAACCUAGCAAAGCCCAAGUGAUUCAAGUUCAGGCCCAAUUCCAUUGCAAGCUUAAGGCUCACUUGAAUUCAAGCCCAACUCAGCCUUUCCAAGCCCGCGAAGCAACUCAAGCCCAGUCCAAUUUCAAAAGCAAAUCUCAGAUUUGGGCUGAGAUUUGUUGGGC